AAAUUUAAGUGUUAUGCCUACGUGACUUGUGGGUUUUCUCUAGUAUUUUCUAUUUUGAAUAAUAGAAUGCACCCGUUUAUAUAUACAGUAUAUAUCUCUACCUGCUAGAAUACUAUAUUAUGCUCACUUAUUAACUUAACCUUGCCAAUAAAAUUUUCAAGAAGUUUCUUCCAUCUGGCAAUCACCUUCCACGUGCCCAACUUUUCCUUAUUUCUAAAACCUAGUUUUCUAUUCUUUAACUUGUUGCAGACGGAACAAAAAAAAAACAAAAGACUGAAAGAUGUUUGUUUGGGGUCAACGUCUCUGUUUUUUUCUGAGUAUAAAGAUGGUUUGUCUUAAAAAUUAGAAACUAAAAAAAAA
rnacentral:lncRNA from 1 species